rnacentral:rRNA from 1 species
AGCAGCCGCGGUAAUUCCAGCUCCAAUAGCGUAUAUUAAAGUUGUUGCAGUUAAAAAGCUCGUAGUUGAAUUUCGGGGUUAGUAGGUUGGUCAUGCCUCUGGUAUGUACUGGUCUCACUGAUUCCUCCUUCCUGAUGAGCCUUAAUGCCAUUAAUUUGGUGUUUUGGGGAAUUUGGACUGUUACUUUGAAAAAAUUAGAGUGUUUAAAGCAAGCUAACGCUUGAAUACAUUAGCAUGGAAUAAUGAAAUAGGACGUUCGAUCCUAUUUUGUUGGUUUCUAGGAUUGACGUAAUGAUUAAUAGGGAUAGUUGGGGGCAUUAGUAUUCAAUUGUCAGAGGUGAAAUUCUUGGAUUUAUUGAAGACUAACUACUGCGAAAGCAUUUGCCAAGGAUGUUUUCAUUAAUCAAGAACGAAAGUUAGGGGAUCGAAGACGAUCAGAUACCGUCGUAG